rnacentral:ncRNA from 1 species
AGAUAUCUUCAGGGCAGGGUGAAAUUCCCGACCGGCGGUAAAGCCCGCGAGCCGAAAGGCAGAUCUGGUGUGAUUCCAGAGCCGACAGUAAAGUCUGGAUGGAAGAGGAUAUUU